rnacentral:lncRNA from 1 species
UGUAAAAAUGAAUGGCCACUUCCAGGUAUGGCUGAGAAGGGUGAAAAUGCAUGCACCCACAGACACACACACACACCGUGGAAAUGAGGAAAAGUUACUUCUCUCUGUUGUAAAUUUAAAUGCAGUCCAGAGUAGUGAAGGCCGUUUGUAAGGUCUGCUGAGCUAAUGGAUUCAUAAUGACUUUUAAAGCUUCACUCGGUACAUCCUAUGUGCCAGACACUGCGAUAGGUUCUGGAGAUAACAACAGUGUCCAAGAAACAACAGUGUCCAAGAAACAGGACUUUCCCUCAAAGAGCUUACUGGGGAAGCCAGCAAGACCAGCAGACAAACACAGGUGAGUGUGAUAUGUUCUUGGUUGAUGCCUACUGUGAGGGGUGCUUAGGACUGGAGCCAUCGGAAGUGCUGAACCAGCUGGAGGAAUGUGAGAUGGAAAGGGGUAAUUAGUGUGGAGAGAAGUGAAGAAUUACCACAAAAGCUGCACUGGGGGAGAGCCUGCUGAAGCUGCUUGAAUCUCAACACUGUCAUACCCGCCAUCUCAUUAUCUACAGCCACAUCUAAAACCCACAUGAAAUACCAAGUCACACGCGGCUCUGGGAAAGACAUUUUACAGAGACCAUCUUAUGAGUUUUUAAUCUGCCUCCUGAGAACUUACAAUCUAAGAAAUAGAAAACUGAUUCCAGUAAGCAUGCCCAGAAUAUGCUAGCAGCAAGAUUAAAACAUGAAACUAUGAAUGUUAAGAAGAACAAUUUUUAAAAAAUCAUUGGACAUCAAACCAAAACAAAUCAUGGUGCCUCCACACAAUGGGAUAUUCCUCAGCAGUAGAAAGGAAUGGACUACUGAUCACGCAGUAAUGAUGACGAAUGUCAAUGUAAUUAUGCCAAGUGAAAGAAGCCAGCCAAAAGGUGGAGAAGAUGAGUUAAGGACGUUUCAAGCAGAGUUGCCAGCAUGAGUAAGGUCAUGGAAAUUGUGACGGUGACCAUGACCUUUGGAAGUAAUGCAAAGUCCCGUGUGCCUGGAACAUAGAUAGAGAGGGAUGCAGGAGAGAGAGGUGACAGGAAGUGCGACAAUGAGCAUUUGUUGGGAAGAGGCUAUAAAGUUCUUUAACUGCUGUGCUGCUUGAAGAUCUCUCUCCUACCACUUCUGGUGACCUGCUUUGCCUUUCCAAGUUGCCUCAAUUUCCUCUUAACUAUUCCUGGCUUCUCAAGAACUCUCUAUAGCAGAUGAUGAUCCUCCUGUCUCCUGCUCAGCUGCCAAGGAGUUAGGCUCCAGAUUCAGUAUCUGACUCAAUUAAUUUUCAGAAGAGAAAGGCAAAGUGAAUUAAAGUAACAAACCCUACCUGCUGUCACUUAAACGAGGAGAUGUAUUACUUUUUACUACAAUGAUAUUUGCUAC